AACCAGAUAAAUAUAAUAAAUAAGAAGCCUUCUCCCACACCCAGCAUGGUCCCCAGACCGCGCCAGGACCCAGUAAUUCAUCCUCCAAACUGUACCCGGCUUCCCUCAUCAGUCACUUUCUGAUAUGAGGGAAGGAGCCCGGCGUGAGGGGCACCCUGGUGUGGAGGCAGGAGACCUGGACUAGGAGCCUGCACAUCUGUCCUAAGACGUCCACCCACCUGAGGGUGUUCUCAGGCAGGUCCCUGCGCUUCACGGUCAAGGUAUGGAGACAGACUUCCUCGAGGGAAAAAGGGAGAUGGAAGGCCCAGAGACCAACUCAGGCCCAGCCCCUGGGGGCUAAGAAGAGACCGCAACCCUCCCGGACAGGAGGAAAUUUCCUGCUGUUUGGCCAUUGUGCAGUGUUCAAGAUCAUAGCUGCUUCAUCAUCCUGGAUUUCUGAGUGACUAUGAGGAACAAAACUCCCAGCUAACCCACAACAUGCAGGGAGCACAAGCACCCUGGUUUGCUGGCCCAGACUCCACACCUUAAAUUUGCUAUCCAUCAACACCAACCUGGCAGCUGGGUCCUGAUCAAGUCGUGAAAGGAAUCUAGACUUCAACCGGCCUAGGAGAGACCUUAUCAAGUUUUGUUAACAACUGAAACAGCAGUCUGGACAGCAAAAAAAGGCUGGAUUCACUACACCCUAGUAAGGGACCGGUGUCUGAACUGGAUGGUAA